ACACGAGAGAGGAGGUGGUUCGGCAGAUGUAUUGCAACCGGACGCGUGAGGUGGCUGCGGGCUAGCGGCCCUGCACCACACACAGUGCGGUGCCGGACCAGCACGCGUCGAACGUGCAGCCGGCCCAAUCUCAAGCAGUCACCCGACCCGCAGGCUCGCCGGUACGUCCGGCCGGCUUCUUCGCCCUUGGGCGGAGGGACCCAGAGUCUGCGGGUCGUCUGCG
rnacentral:sRNA from 1 species